CAUACCAGUAAUCUGGAGUCUAUAAAAUAAAGUAUGAAGCAAGUAUUUAGAUCAAUUUAAUGGUAUAUACCCAAUUCUAAAAUGUGGUCUUGUGCAAAGUCAGAAAUCAAUUCAAAGAAUUUUUGGAAUUUCUGAAAUUGAAAUCUUUAUUAUUUUUUUUCCUAAGGGGCAUAACUCUUAAUGCAUAUUUACAAAUCCUGAUGUCUACGACAGCCAAGGUUACGAUCGGUUUAUCAGUGAUAUUCACAGCCUCAAUUGUUACUUAUGUACAUCUUUCACAAAUUUUGGAUAGAAAGAAAAUGAAGGCUGGCAUUUUGAAUGAUGUAAAUAAGGAACAGAAGAAAAUUCAAAAUCUGAAAAUGUUGCAAACACAAGCAGAACUGAAGAGAGCCUAUGAACGAGAGGCUAAAAAUGCAGAGAGCUGAAUAAAUUAAACAUUUACAUUUGGAUUAAGUAAUUUAUAAAUAUAUAUAUAUAUAUAUGUAUUUUAACAGGUCGCAAAUCUUGGCAGAGGAGUGGGUUAAAUCAAAUUAGUAUGUACCUAUUGAUCUUGGAAGUAUUGAACUCAGACUGGAUAAGGAUGUAACUAAAUAUCACAAGGCAUUUUGUUUGCCAUACUACUGAUCCUGUUGUCAUAUACUUACUUUUCCAGUUACCUUUUAUGGGUUACUGGGCAACUACAAAAUACUUCAUUUUUAUGAAGUGUCAAAAAAGGAGCAAGAUAGCCUGGUGAAAUUAAGCUGAAAACUUUAUCAAUUGUUAUUCUGAUUUUUUUCCGAUCUUCAGAAGAAUGUGAUACAUAUACAUACAUACAUUUAUAUAUAUAUAUAUAUGUCUGAUUAAUCCGGACUGUUGCCAUAGUAACAAAGCUAAAGCAUGCAGAGUGAAGCCGCUUGGCAAAGAUUGACCUUGAACUCUGCUGUGCAUGUGCACUAAGUUUUAACAUUCCUGCUCAUUUCUUCUGUUUACAGCGGUGCUUGGAAGAAAGGCAUGUAGCAUGUGAUUGUUGCAUUGACCAUGACAGAGAAUGUUGUCACGGCAAUGAGAGAACCACAACCAGCAGAAGUGAGAAAAACAUUGCAGAUGUGCAUGCAGCCUUGAGGGAAAAUCGUCAAAUCACCAUUUGUUAGUUAUCAGAGCAUGUGCAGAUUAGUUAUGGUUCAGUUCAGUCCAUUAUCACUGAAGAUUUGGGUAUGAGAUGCAUGUCUGCCAAGUUUGUGGCAAAACUGCUUUCAGCUGACCAAAGAGACACCUGCAAGAUCGAUCUCCUUGAUUGUUUCAAGUAUGGUGGAAACUUUUUGAAAACUUUGCAUGGGGCUCUGAGCAGGUAUCGCCAAGCUUUUGGCAAAAUUUGAUGCAGAUUCUCUACUUAACUUUCUCUGUUAUUGUCAAUGUGAUGAUCACAUGUUACACACCUUCCUUCCAAGCACUGCUGUAAACAAUAGAAGUGAGCUAGAAUGUUAAAACUUAGUGCGCAUGCACGCCAGAGUUUAAGGUCGAUCUGUACCAAGCGGCUUUACUCUGCAUGCUUUAACAGUCUGGAUACUUAUUGAUCAGACCACGUAUAUAUAUAUAUAUAUUGAGAAAGAGGGGUACACAGAUAAAUAUGGUUGGGCUAUAAAAAAACACAACCAUCUACAAGAUUUGUUUAUAAAUAAUGUUUCAAUGAAAUAAAAUAUUGCAUGCCA
rnacentral:sRNA from 1 species